CUUUGAACAAGCGUACAAAUGAAAUGGUAGACACAUGCUGAACUCAACAUUGUGACAUUAAGGGAAAAAAGAGGCCCCAAAUCUUGUACAGAGAAUAAAAAGAACAAUAAAUAUUUUACUAAGCCAUAUUGAAAUGACCUCCUGUCAUCUCAACAUUUUAUCCAUAAUUAAAAAAAAAGUGCCCAUUUCUUAAACAGAGCACAAAUACCAAGCAAUAAUAAAUAGUUCCAAACUUGUAGUAAAAGACAAAACCUCCAAGUAAACAACAAAAGCUCAUACAAUAAGUAAUAGAAAAGGUAAUAAAAAUAUUUUGCCUUGCCAGUACAAAUGCAAACAACUGAAAUCAAUGUAACUUUGCUUUGCAGGGCUGAGAUACAAAGAGCACCAAAUCACAGAUUUGCCUGUGUUCAACAAAACUCCCGGCUGAUGGAUGAGCCGGGAUGCAGGGCUGAUUUCCUUACUUUUCACAUUUUGCUUAGAGUAAUUCAGUCUCCUCUCCCCUUGAGACUCUCCAAUGGCAAGUGGCAGGUUCCAAUGGGGGGCAACUUUGGGCAAAGUUGUGGCAGUGUGGAACCCAGGCUGAGGUUGGUGGGGUCACCCAGGCCAGAGCCCUCUCUCUGGGUCACCUGCUUUGGGGUGCAUUAUUUACUUAUUUUUAAUACAGAAGAGAAGCAAAAUUCUCUUCUCUCUGCAGUCCACAGAGACACACAAGCCUUGUGCUUUAGGAUGGCUUCGUCCUGGCAUUCUGGUGAUUGUGUGUGAGCUGGUGAGCACUGGCUACCAGUGAAGGCCGCAGGACACCACCGUGGGGACUCCGCAGCCGCUAACACGGCAGGGGCAGGGCCCGGGGCAGGGAAGGCAGCCCUGGUGCCCAGGCUGGGCAGGUGGGGAACUCAAACUUGCCCACUCCCCUGCCCCUCUCUUUUAACCUUGCAAAGGGGAGUGGAAAGGGGAAACAGCGCAAACAGAAAAGCUCCCAGGACGAUUUCUGCAUUUGGUAAAGAAUUGCCUAGCAGGAUGCUUGGUUAUACUCCCAUAACCUGAAGUAAUGGUUUCUUACAUUUCCUGAAAUUAAAAAAAUGGCUUCCUGAUAUAGGUAUUUGUUAAAAAUGUAUUAUUCCCUCCAAAAGACCACUACUUUUAUUAUCUUAAAGCUACUUGGCUUUACAAAAAAAAAAAAGAGGGGCAGGGUCGGGAGGGACAGAGAGAAAGAAAAGAAAUUAAAUAAAAAUGAAAUGAACAGUUACAAGACAGACAGAGGCUGGAGGCUGGAGGCUGGAGGGGAAUGGAGGGGAAUGGAGGGGAAUGGAGGGGAAUGGAGGGGAAUGGAGGGGAAUGGAGGGGAAUGGAGGGGAAUGCAGAGGAAGGAAAGAGGCGAAAAGGCACCGAAUUCAUUCAUCCCAGGCCCUCGGCAUUCGGAAAUGGACGGGAAUGUAGGUUUCGGAGAGAAAAGCAGCAAAGUAGGGAAGAAAAAUAGGCCAACGUCUCCAUGGAACGGAAGAUCCUGGUUGAAAGGCUCCCUCCCCACACCCCGCCUGCACCAGCCGCCGGGGACCUGGACCUGGCCGGCUAGCGUUUGUUUCCUGUUUUCUCAAGGAAGACAGCAGCUUGGUUUACACUUCUCUGCCACGGAGGCCAGCAGAGGUGGUGCUGACCACCACAGAGGCGACAGCAGAGAAGGAAGGGGACCUCGAGCGUCUCUCCUGAACACCUGCCGCCUCACAGAUGGCCUGUGAGAGGAAGGGAGGACACUGUGGAAUGUGGCCGACAUCUUAACACAAACUGAUUUUUCCACUCAAGACAAAUAAAGCGUUUCCCAUCCAGUCUGCUGCGGCCACACCAAGGUGCCCUGGGACAAAGUUCGGCCUUGAGCUCGAAGCCCACCUCGAACCCUUCUUUGUGUAGGCCAAUUCCAACAAAAAAUAUAUGCAACUGAAACGAUCUGCGAACCAAAGUACUGAACUACUUCCUUCUGUCUCUUUCACAAAGGUUGUCAAACAACCCCUUUUUUUCUCCUGUACAAUAGGACUUAACAUACAAAUUUUUUUGCAAUAUUUUAUCCUGCCAAAUUAAAAAAAUAUAUUAUGGCAGCCUGUUUGUUUUUGUUUUUUUUUUCUUUUUAUUUCCAAAUUCACUAACAAAAAGGUACAUUAAAUCCCUUUAAAAGGACAAGCUUACAGUUAAAAAAUUACAAGCUCCAGUAAAAAUACAGCAAGUGCCUACAUCAUACGAACCAACCAAUAUAUCCAUUCCAGAGGGAGGUGGGGAGAGAAAAAUAAGUACAGGUCAGAAAUGUGAUUUUUUUUUUCUGCAAAGCAAUAACAAUAUUAAGCACUUUUUUCUACAUACUUUUUCUACAUGGUGUAGCAAUCCCCUUUUAAUCCCCAAAUACAAGUUUCUAUACAUCUUUUUUGAAAUAAAAAUUCAACACCCAAGGCAGAAAAAAAUUUACUAAAACUCCGACUUUACAGUUACUGUGACAAGAACAAAUUGAUAGACCCACCAUUUAAAUUUUACUGCAACAUUUUCAAGGAAAAAAAAGUUUUUUUUUUC
ensembl:lncRNA